rnacentral:rRNA from 1 species
AAAACGACGGCCAGUUGGUGCAUGGCCGUUCUUAGUUCGUGGAUUGAUUUGUCUGGUUAAUUCCGAUAACGAACGAGACUCAAUUAUUUAACUAGAUACCUAUCAGCCGUUGAGAUGCUGAAGUUGCAUGCGUUGGUAGUUGCCCUCGUGGUGGCUGCUGCGUGUGUAAUGGAGUCUCACCUGAUAGUUUGGUACUCGGUUUCGGCCGAUGUGCUUUAUCUGCUUAAAUAGACAAAUUGCUUCCAGCAAUAUGAAAUUGAGCAAUAACAGGUCUGUGAUGCCCUU